GUCUAGCCUGCCAGAAGUUGAGAGGGUGAAGACUGUGGCACCGGAGUUGAAGCCCAUCAAAGUUGUUUCUCAAUGGCACAUGAUCGGGGUGGACCUCAUCGGACCCUUCACGAAAUCAAGGAAUGGCAACAGCUGGUGUCUGACGGCGACCGAUCACUUUACCAAGUGGGUAGAGGCAAUACCCAUUAAGGUUUGGUGAAUGGACCAACCAGACCCUCAAGACUGCCAUGGGCAAGUCCCUUGAUUGGUACUAGGAAGAGUGGGAGAACAACCUGAAGAUCACUGAAACCCCACCUGUUGUGGUGGAAGUUGUCGAACCAGAUCAGAGCGCCUUCGAGGACCACCUUCAGGCAUGGACUGAGAAGGAUGUGGAGGUUUUUGACCAGGUGAGACUGAACAUCGACAUGGCGCAGGAGAAACAGGAGGAGAGCUACCGGAGGAGAAUCAAGAAGGGGACCAGGUGCUACGACAUCUGGGCGAAUUACUUGGUUUGGCAGAAGGACGAAAGGAAGGCGAGACUUGGGAAACCUCGCUGCUCUUUCGCUCCUAGCUGUUAAGGGUUACCUCGGUGGAAGCCAGCAAUCUUCUCCAGUUGGAGCAGUUGGACGGUCAACCACUGAAAGCACUGACGUCCUACAAUUUGGUGAAACCCAAUAGACAAAGACCAUCGACUGUCCGAGCCCCCCAGGAGGUAUCCCAUCCACCAGAACCAGUAAGUUCGGAUCAGUCUGAUUCUCUGUGCUCUGAGUGUGAGGGGGACCAGCUUGAGGACUUAGGGGUUCUGCCCAACACCCAGACGUGGAUCAACCCGAUGUCCUCCAUUACCAACCACCCUCCAACUUUUCAUUACAUAAUUUCACUAAAAACACUAGCACUGCAAACACUCAGCGCAGCAGUGCCUGGACUUUGCAGUCUUUGAGUCCCCAUUCCGAGACUGGCUGCCUGUUGAGAACAAGUGACAGGCAGAACCUCCCACCCACACAGCAACCACCUCCUCAAUAUUCCACACACCAGAAUUCAGUAUUUUAGUCUAUGAUUGCCAUGUGAGUGUACAAAAAAUCUGAAAAUAAAUGAAUGACACAACUGU